UAAAUGACAUCUAAUCAUAGCUCAGAACUAAGGAUAAGGUCAGAAAUCUGAUGGUUGUCAUGAUAACGUCCUCAAUUUCCUCUCAGCGUUCCUUGGGAAAUUCUUAGGAUCAUUCCCUUCCUUGAAAAACACCACAUUCUGAUGGCUCCAAAAAAGCCCAGGUAGAGGUGAUUUAAGGUGGCCAGAGCUGGCUGUGAUAUGAACAACACUGGAUCAUUGCCUAGAGGAGCAGGCUGGAUAUGACGAUGGUCCUGGCCCCAGCCAGUGCACCCAUAUCAGCACCGUGGAAACCAAGUCUGGCUGCUGCUGACAUGUGAAUGGCAGCUACUACCUCUCCCAGAACAAGCCCUUUUCUUCUUAUAACCCACUCACUUAACCUGCAAAACCCUGUCCUCAAGAGCCCUCCCUAUGAUAUUCAUCCUGCCUUCUUGCUUUUCCAUUCUUUCCCAUCUUCACAUGAGAAGAGCAGCCUGGCCUCAGGCUGCUCCCAUCUUUUGCUCUCACUUUUGGUGCACUAAGAUUAAAUUUUGCCCACACUGUAGAGAAUUUCUGAGACAGCUUUGAAGGUGA